GAUGAACGCUGGCGGCGUGCCUAAUACAUGCAAGUCGAGCGAACAGACGAGGAGCUUGCUCCUCUGACGUUAGCGGCGGACGGGUGAGUAACACGUGGAUAACCUACCUAUAAGACUGGGAUAACUUCGGGAAACCGGAGCUAAUACCGGAUAAUAUAUUGAACCGCAUGGUUCAAUAGUGAAAGACGGUUUUGCUGUCACUUAUAGAUGGAUCCGCGCCGCAUUAGCUAGUUGGUAAGGUAACGGCUUACCAAGGCAACGAUGCGUAGCCGACCUGAGAGGGUGGUCGGCCACACUGGAACGGAGACACGGUCCAGACUCCUACGGGAGGAAGCAGUAGGGAAUCUUCCGCAAGGGGCGAAAGCCUGACGGAGCAAAGCCGCGUGAGUGAUGAAGGUCUUCGGAUCGUAAAACUCUGUUAUUAGGGAAGAACAAAUGUGUAAGUAACUAUGCACGUCUUGACGGUACCUAAUCAGAAAGCCACGGCUAACUACGUG
rnacentral:rRNA from 1 species